rnacentral:lncRNA from 1 species
CAGUGUAAUCAUCCUCAGGGUCAGCAUAAGGAACAGGAAUAAGGAGACGGCUGUUGACACGAAGACCACCAAAACCACCAGCAAAGCGGUGGAGAGAAGUGGUCGGGUAAUAGAAGUAAGAACCGAUCUGGUCCUUAGGUUGGAAAUGGUAAGUAAAGUUCUGUCCUGCUGGGAUGGGGCAUGAAGUCCCAGCCACACCAUCUUGCCAACAGUUCUUCCUAUGCUGAAUCCCACUCCUGCAUCCAUAAAUCCAUCAUUAGUACUCAUAUCACAUAAGAAUGUUAAAAUGCUUUAAAUGGAUUAUUUGCCUUGGCCAGGUCAGACCCUUGAAACCCGUCUUGCCUCAAAGGUCAAAGCCGGACGAGUUCGGCAUUAUUGACCAUUUUUCGUUUCUUUUUUAAGGUUAACUACGGACCAACCUUGCCUUGGAAACAGGCCGGACUGAAAAAAAAC